GAAAAUGUUUUAUUUUUUUCAUGAAAUAAAAAGAGAAAAGCCAGUAAGGCAUUGUUCUUACUGAGGCUAAUGUAGCUGCUCACCUCACACCGUGGAAUCCACAAUUUGUCUGCAGCAUUGACAAAUAUUUUAUUCUGGAUUAGCAGCAUUUUUUUGGAGAUAACAACCAGCCACAUGAUAGCAAGUCAACAACACUGAGCACCUUCCACCUGGAAGAUCAUUUCCAGCAAUGGUUCACACCAUAUGAACAUAUUACCUCCAGUUGUUUCUAUAUUGGGCUUCAGGAUCCUCUUCCUCACACUUACUGCAAUGCAUAGAGAACGAUGAGGAAACAGCCACAAAGGAGUUGAGGAGGUGGAUCAAGAUUGCA